UACGUAGGGGGCAAGCGUUGUCCGGAUUUAUUGGGCGUAAAGCGCGCGUAGGUGGCUUCGUAAGUCCGUUGUGAAAGUCAAAGGCUCAACCUUUGAAAGCCGAUGGAUACUGCGGAGCUAGAGUACGGAAGAGGCGAGUGGAAUUCCCGGUGUAGCGGUGAAAUGCGCAGAUAUCGGGAGGAACACCAAUGGCGAAGGCAGCUCGCUGGGACGGUACUGACGCUGAGACGCGAAAGCGUGGGGAGCAAACAGG
rnacentral:rRNA from 1 species